rnacentral:tRNA from 1 species
GUGGCUCAAGGAGUAGGGUGCUGGCCUCAUAUGCCAGAAGUGGUGGGUUCAAACCCAUC